GUUCACGUCAGCUUUGGAGCUCUUCUAAAUGCAGAAACUGCCGUAACAGUCGAAGCAUGUGAAAGUCGAGCUCGGCAUCCUACAAAGUUUUAUAGUUUAACGGUUAUCACUGACAGGAAAAAGCGGUUCUGUCAGAAGUGAGGGACCAUAAACACCAGACAGAACGUACGUUCACAUUUUGGAACAGAGAAAUCUUAAUAUUGGGUAACAGUCCAGGCUAAAGGGCUUGAGCUCAGGCCUUGCGAGCUGUGAAGACCUCUCGGUACAACCUCACCGAGCUGCUAACCACUAAAAAUGGGAACAGUUCUACAAGUUGUUUCUAGUUGUGCAUGCUGUUACAGGCCAAACCGCCGAGAUAGUUCUAGUGAAGACAACAGAUACAUAAGAAACAGUUGGCUACGAAUCAUGACGUCGAAACUGCGGCGACAGAAUGGGACACCUGAGACUCUAUCACGGAACAAAAGAGCCGAAGAACAAGAGCUCGGAUGUGAUCAUUUCGCUUGGAAAGACUCAUCCAUAUCACUGGAAAGUCAUAUAUUCAAAAAACAGAACGAUGAAGAUUUUAAACGCAUUUCUAUUUAGCACAUUUUUAUGACGCAUUCUGUCCUAUUCAGAUUUUGAAAUUGUCGUCAGUAACACUUAAGUUUAGGGACCAGUCAAAACCUCCCCCUCCUCCGAAAUC